AUAAAAGGGGUUCUCGCAUGAACCCUACCCUAUAUAUAUAUAUAUAUAGGGUAGGGUUCAUGCGAGAACCCCUUUUAUU
rfam:Helianthus annuus linkage group 5, whole genome shotgun sequence.